CCUACGGGAGGCAGCAGUGAGGAAUAUUGGUCAAUGGCCGGAAGGCUGAACCAGCCAAGCCGCGUGAAGGACGAAGGUGCCAAGCAUUGUAAACUUCUUUUGUCAAGGGACAAAAUCAGGCUCGAGAGCCUGACCGAGGGUACUUGAAGAAAAAGCAUCGGCUAACUCCGUGCCAGCAGCCGCGGUAAUACGUAGGGUGCGAGCGUUAAUCGGAAUUACUGGGCGUAAAGGGUGUGCAGGCGGUUUUGCAAGAUGGAUGUGAAAGCCCCGGGCUUAACCUGGGAAAGCCAUACAUGACUGCAAGACUAGAGUGCGUCAGAGGGGGGUGGUAUUCCAAGUGUAGCAGUGAAAUGCGUAGAUAUUUGGAAGAACACCGAUGGCGAAGGCAGCCCCCUGGGACGCAACUGACGCUCAUACACGAAAGCGUGGGGAGCAAACAGGAUUAGAUACCCCGGUAGUC
rnacentral:rRNA from 1 species